ensembl:lncRNA
AGAAGCCAUGGAGUCAGCUAAUGACAGCACAAUUUCACAGCAAUGGUCAGAGAAGGCUUUGGGCAGAUUGAGACAACGUAUGGAUGGAUUGCGCCAACACCAUGAUGAGUGUGCAAAAAGACAUCAUUUGGUUCAAGACAGCAUACCUGUUAGUACUUCUGGUUUGCUUUUGGAAGACCUGCAACAGGAAGAGCCAGAGCCACCUCCUCUAGAAAGGACAGACAGCAUAUUCGUAAGUGUGGUGUUUGAAUUCUUUGACAUUCAAAAUAACUGGUGAUGUAACUCUUUAUCCCUUUAUAUAUAUAUGUAUGUAUGUAUGUAUGUAUGUAUGUAUGUAUGUAUGUAUAUAUAUAUAUAUAUAUAUAUAUAUAUAUAUAUAUAUAUAUAUAUAUAUAUAUGUAUGUAUGUAUGUAUGUAUGUAUGUGUGUAUAUAUAUAUAUAUAAAUAUUAGCAUCAACAGUGUACAGUACAGAAGGUUUGCAGAAAGGCUGUAGUAGUUGAAUAAUUCUGGUUAUUUUACCAGGUCAGGGUUAGUAACCUGCUUGUCAGAAGGUUUGUGACAAAGUUGUUAGUCGGAGGUGUUGGCAAGUAGUCUAUUGUUGGGGAAAAAAUAUAUAUAUAUUUUACAAUUCAAAUGGUUGGUUUCAUAUCAAUUUAGUUAACCAAGAAGAUGCUGAACAUUACUGAGACUGAGUCCUCCAGUAGUGAAAGUGUAAGUGACGAGGACAAGGAGUAUGUCCCUCAAAAAUCGGAGGAAUCAGAUGGCUCCUCUGAUGAAGAGCCUUUGAAAGUGCCGAUUCCACCCAGAAAAGUGUACAAGAGGGUCAGACAACUGCCAGAGGAAAGUGAAAGUGUAGUGGAGAGUAGCAGUACUUCCGUGGUUGUAAUGAACGUAAAAAAACUGAAGGAUGGGACAAAAAAGUACCAUCAGAAAAGAAACUACUGCCUUUUUUGUGAUAAAUGUUACCCAAAGCUUGCGCGCCAUCUCGAACAGAGGCAUGCUGAUGAGGCAGAAGUGGCCAGAGCACUGGCAUGUCCAAAAAGAUCUAAGGAAAGAAGGCUGCAGUUAGACUACUUACGGAAAAGGGGGAACCGAGCCCAUAACGUAGAGGCACUUAGAGAAGGGAAAGGUGUGGUAGUGCCUUGCAAACAAUCCAGUGGUGCCAAUGCAGAUGCCUCAGACUAUCACCACUGUCCCAAUUGUCAAGUACUUUUCAAAAAGAAGUUCAUGUGGAAGCAUAUGAAACUGUGUGCUCUUUCACAGAAAUGUGGUAAAGCUAAGCCAGGAAAAACGCGAGUUCAGUCUUUGUGUGCAUUUGCUCAGCCAGUUCCUGCUGGUGUGACAACCAAAACAUGGAAAAUGAUAAGUAACAUGUGCCAGGACAAGAUCGCACAGGCAGUUCAAAAAGACAGAUGCAUAAUUGCAUUAGCACAGCAAAUGCUAAACAAGAAAGGAGCGUCACAGGAUGAGCAUAUCCGCGCAACACUAAGAGAGCUUGGAAGAUUAUUGCUGGCUGGACAGGAGGUCACUCCUCUGAAGAGUAUUGAGCAGUAUGUCAUGCCAUCAAAUUUCCAUCAUUUAAUCAGAGCAGUAAAGGUUGUUGCAGGUUAUGACGAGAAAACCAACACCAUCAAAAAGUCAUCUCUGGCACUAAAACUGGGACAUAGCCUAAAGAAAGUAGCAGACCUUGUUGCAUGUGAAGCCCUCAUAUCAGGAAAUCAAGACAAAGCAAAGCUGAUUGAAAACUUCCGCGAGAUAUAUAGAACACGGUGGAAUGAGUUCAUUUCUGCGUCUGCUUACCGAACACUGCAGGAAGCUAAAUGGAAUGCGCCUCAGCUUAUUCCAUUUACUGAUGACGUCAAAAAGUUGCACCUUCAUCUGGAUGAGAAACAGGAGGAGUACUCCAACGUGCUUUCCGGUGACCAGACGCCAAGAAACUGGACCAAUCUCGCCAAAGUGAUCCUUGCCAAAGUUAUCCUGUUCAAUCGGCGUCGACAAGGAGAGGUUUCCAAGAUGUUGUUGACGACCUACUUGUCCAGGGUGUCAACACCUGUACAUGAUGACAUCGCUCAUGCCUUAUCGGAGGUGGAAAAAAUUCUAUGCAAAUACUUUUCACGCAUGGAAGUAAGAGGGAAAAGAGGAAGGAAGGUGCCGGUGCUAUUGACCCCUGCUAUGGUCAAGUCAUUGGAUCUGCUUGCAAAGGAGAGAUCAAAUUGCGGGAUCCUACCUGACAAUGACUUCUUAUUCGCCAGGCCUGGCAGUGCAUCUCACUUAAAGGGGUCAGACUGCAUUCGUGUCUACGCAAGAGAAUGUGGAGCUGAGCAGCCGCAGACCCUCUCUUCGACGAAACUCAGAAAGCAAGUGGCCACCUUGAGCAAGGUGCUGAACCUUACAGACACCGAACUUGAUCAGUUGGCGGAGUUUUUAGGGCACGACAUAAGAAUCCACAGGCAGUAUUACCGCUUGCCAGAGGGGACUCUGCAAUUAGCCAAAAUAAGCAAAAUUCUGAUGGCAUGCGAGCAGGGAAAGUUGGCAGACUUCAAAGGGAAAACAUUGGAAGAGAUUACCAUAGAGCCCAGAGGUAAGAAGUGUAGGGUGUAG